CUUAGAUUCAAUUCAACCAUUUGGUUUAAGCCAGCUCCUGAACGGACUAAGCUACUAAAACCAUAAACUCUGAAGAUUGGCAACUGGUAGAAUAAUUUUCCUGCAGAUUGGUCUUUGUAACAAGUGCCAGCCCACAACCAGAGGUAAUAAGGCUGUUUUUCUGGAAUGAAAAUCAAACUGAGUGGAUCCUCCUAUAAAAAUAGGGCACUGUCAUAUACUUGCAGCCUGAAAUACACCGACUAAGGACCAGUAUUUUUCAAGAAACAUCUGUGCAGAUUGCUAAUGAAGAUGUUAAAUAGGAGCAAUCCCGAAUCUGCACCCUUCAUUACCCUACUAGAUAUUUUUCCCCUAGUCACUCUCAUAAUCUUUUGUUUAUAGUCUUUCAGCCAGUUUUAACCCACAUGCUCCUAUAAAAUCCAUUGCAAUUCAUUUUCCACUUAUGGCUGCAAAAAAAAACACUGCAGGGAGAAUUUCAAGAACAUAUGGAUACAACCUUGAUCCUCUGAAACUCAUAAGGAUUACUGAAAAAAAAAUCCCAUAGGCAACCCAGGAUUUUCUGUAUAUCACUUAUAUGUCAAGGAAGGGAAGAUUUUAAGAAUCAAAAUGAGAGUGGUGUUUGGGACUAUGUGUAUUGAUCCUGCUGUAUUCUUCCUGUAUGCACAGUUAUAUUCAAAGUUAUUAUUGAUAUAUUUUUUGAAUUGUAUGACAAAAACUCCAUCUUCAAUGCAGUAGAUUUCUUACAUAUUCACAUGCAAAGACCUAAAAUAAUAUUCUCUAUUUAAAUUUUAGUCAUUAUCACAUAUGGUAGGUCAAUAGCUAGAUAUCAAUUUGGUAAAAAAAGUUUUUAGCUUUAUUAUUUUAUAGAAGCAUAGAAGCAUAAUGUAUUAAAAAUUUCCUUGCUUGUUUUUUAGCUAAUACUUUGCCAUUUGGAACCAUGCAAGCUAGGUGAGAGAAACAGAUGUACUGUGGUUUGAAGCUCUGUGAGAAGAUUUUCAUGCAGACUACAGUUCACAUCCUAGACUGAAACAAACUUAAUUGUGCUCACUGGGGCAAAUUGUUCCUUUGUUUACAGUGCAGUGCCCUCAUUGAUUUCAAGCUCAAUAGAACAGCUAUGUUUAGGCUUGUGUACAAUGCUGCGAUAUACGGGAUCUGUUAUGAAAAUAGAGUACUUCAAAUUUAUAAGACUUGAUGUUGGACUUGAAAAGGAAUGGAGUUUAUUUAAUGCAGUCUUUUAGCUUUACAUGAUAGCUUCUAUACAAUUAAGCAGUCUAUAUCGAGUAAAAAAACUCAAAAAAGUGUAGCUUAAAAUAGCUUUUUUUGGCACUUCAAAAGAUCAUAUAUUAAAGAACUAAUUGUUAAGCUUUUAGAUUUUACAACUGGCUUUUUUCCGAUAUUGAUUUCUUUUUUUCUUCUGAAUACUAGAGAAUAAUUCUCUUCAUUAUGUUAUAGCUUUUUUCUGAUUGCACCAGUUCAGUUGACAUAGACAAUACGUCAUUUAAUCUUAGGUGUGAAGGACUUUCCUCAGGACUUUUACUGGUUUUUCUUCACAGUAUCACUUUUCUCUCAGAUUGUCAUUUAGCUCUUAGAGUCUCUCUGCUGAAGUCACUGUGGCAGACGUGUGUCACAUUAGCAGCUCAGAUACACAUCUAGUUUUGAACUGCAGACAAAGUCAGCAAGAAGAGUGAAAUGCUGUCCUUGCUGAUGUCCAUGCUGACAUGGCUAACCAGUCAGGAGUGAGUACUCAACACAGCUAACAUAGAAGCCCUGUAUUUCUGUAAGGCAUUUUUCAGAAUGCACAGUCACAGAGGUGUUAGCUGAACCCCAGAGAGGAAAUCAGGUUUCUGCGCUUGUCAGUCUUAUGGCUAAAUCAUCUGAUAGAUCCUAAUUUGAUUUCUAACUUUGCCCUUUGCAUCCUUGAGCAGCUCAGGGAAACAAGGAUAAUAAUUUAUUGUGACGCAGUUCUUAUUGCUUUCAGUGCUAGAGAGCUUCCUGCAUAACUGAACACAUACCUCUGAGUCUUUCCAGGGUGCAAUAUAAACUCCACAGACGCUGGGAAACCCCAGAUUUGUGGCAGAGGCUCUGUUUCACCUGCACAAAAUGAAAGCCUUCUCCAGUCUUGAGUCUUUCACCUGCUCAGACCACAAACUGUUCAGUGCAAGGAUUAUACUGUAUGCUGUGGUGACUGUUCUCUGUUCUCAGAUCUCUUGCCCUUACCAUGAUACAAAUAAAUAAGAAUACCAAGAUACCCUGAUGAUCCUCCUUAUCACAUUUGACACAUUAUCACAUUUAAAUGGUAGAAUCACUGGAACAAUGUUCAAAACAAGAGAUAUGGUCACCCCAGGACAGACCAUAAAUUAAUUGUCUGUAUGCAUUAUCAAAUUUUUUUUUGUAUUAUUAUUACUAUUGAGUUUUUUAACAGAGGAGUCUACAGAGGCAGCAUAUUUCUCACAUUUGGUUCCAAAAUAAUUUCAUUUUUGUUCCGAUCAAAUGCACAGACUUCAUUUCACUCCAAAUACUCCAGUUCCCAAGAGUAUGGUGGUUCUCCCUGGAACACAGCAGGAUGUACAGCAGUGUCUCAUCUCUGUCCUUCCUGCCAGCUGACAAUUGCAGUGAAUUCAGAGUUUCUGAAGUUGUCCUCCCAUUGAAGUUCAUGGAGGCACAACAUCCUGCUCCUCACUGCAGGGGUAAGAAGGAAGGCAGCUAGCUGUGCUCCACAGGAGCAGGGAACAGGCUGGCUGUGUUCAUUGCCCAACCUUUUCCCACACCAGCUGUUUCAGGCCUGUGCCAGAGGGAGGACAUGUUGCAGUCUUCCAGCAGGUACUGUCACUGUUGCAUAUGGCCCUUUGGAGGCUAAAUCCCUUUGGGGGGAUUUAAGUCCCUACAGAUGUAAGUCCCUUCUGCACCAUCUCUUUCAAUGUAUUGGUCACACUAAAAAUGUUACAAUCUAGCUCCAAGUGAAGAAGGCCACGAGGACAUAUAUCUAGAGGAAAUAUAACUCCAAGUUAAUACAAAAUACCUUUGCAAAUGAAAGUAUUUAAAUAAUAUUGUAAAUAGAUUUUUUUUUUCAAACACAGAGAUUUUUAAGUCUCAAGAGGAAAACACUGGACUAACCUGGCAA